GUUGUGUAUCGUCGGAAGAAUCUGUUAUUUGUGUAGUGUAUAUCCGUUUUGGGGUUGUAGCGUCCGUCCACUGUAGUAGAGGUGUUGUAUAGUCAUCACUAAUGCCAUUGAUAUGUGUCCAUUGUGUUAUCAGCACUAUGCCUGUUUGUUGCGCCUUUUCGGUGUCGUCGGUAUCAGGUGGGGGGAAGUACCGUAAGGGUAAU